rnacentral:misc_RNA from 1 species
AACCAUAGAAACCUGCGGAGUACCUGCGGAAGGAUCAUUACAGAGUUGCAAAACUCCCUAAACCAUCGCGAACGUUACCCAUUCGUUGCUUCGGCGGGCGGGGCCCCAGCGCCCCCCCCAGGCCCCCCGCGGGCGCCCGCCGGAGGUACCCAAACUCUUGAAAAUGUAUGGCCUCUCUGAGUAUUUUACUUAAAUAAGUCAAAACUUUUAACAACGGAUCU